AAGCCCCGCCUGGCCCCCCUUCCACACUGGAAGCCUCUCUGUGGCUGAUGGGAGGACCAGGGCUGAUGAAAGGAUGGAGCCAUGAAGGGCAGCCCUCCUGCUGCGGGUCGCCCUGCUGCUGCCCUGGGCCUGCAGCUCCUGGCACGUGGGUCUCUGGGACUCCUUGUGGAUGUGCCUCUCCAGGGCCCUCCAUCCUCGGUGGGCAGGAGACUCCCCUAGGGAGCUUGCUCUCAAGUUCUCAAUAGCAUACACACGGCUGCCACAAAUACACAGAAGUUUUGGGAAUUAGCUCUGUGAGACAGGCCUAUUUCAGAUAAGAAAAAUGAGGAUCAGAGAAGCUGAAAGUCUUGCGGAGGACACCCCAGCAAGGCGAAUUACAGGCCCAGAAUUCUAACGAGGGCAUCCGGACUCUGGGAUUACAACCGCCUUCUGCGUCCCAGGAAAAACCUCCUCUAGUCAUGCCCAGAUCUGCCUGGUCUAAAAACCACAAAAAUCGCAGGACUUUCCACUGAGUCAAUGCUUGUCACGUCUAGAGACCUGGAUCGAGCUGUUUCCUUCCAUUCACAGAGCCGUCCUGCAGGAGAGAUGUUACUUUUACCAUCAAUGUAAAAACUGAGCCUUAAACUGCUUCAGAAACUGUUUAGAUUCAUUCAACUGAAUAUUCACACUGGAGUUUGAAUCAAGGCCUACGUGGCUUUAGAAAUUUAAGAUCCAAACCGUACCACUGUUGUACCUGACAUCCUUCAUGCACCUCCCUCAUCUUCAGAGAAACAAUUCUAAUUCUUCACUUUAAAGCAAGGUAGUGUGACUUUCCAAUGACUUCAGGGCAUUCGGUAAAGAACAGCUUGGUUCAAAGUAAGUUGAUGAGCACAGCAAUUUCUUCAUAAUGGCAACCUGGUUAAAAAAAAAUAAAAUAAACCCAUACCUGGCUUUGGGAAGGAAGUUGUUUGUUUUAAUGUUUUGUAUUUGGACUUGCAUCACAUAGAGUGGUGAUUUUUUUCAACAUUUUGUGUGUCACUUAACAUUUUUAAAAAUAAAGUCUUACAAGCUGUGAAACAAUGUGAACAUCCUGAUCCUAUCUCUGUAAAAUAUGAUGGGUGCACAUUGAUAGACGAGGGUGUGGAAAGUUACAUCUGAAGGUGGCAACAGGAGUUGCCUCUGCAUGUGUGGAAUUAGAAGGAUUGUUGAUUUCAUUUAUUUAUCUGAAUAUACGAUAGAGAAAGUUCAAGUAGCACAGAUGGCUGCACAAUGAAGAGGAAUUUCACCUCUUACACUCAUUCUCAGUCCACUCGCCAAAGGCAAUUACAUGGAUAUGUAUUCUUCCUGAAAUAUUCUUUUCAUACACAAUCGUGUAUAAAAUCGUGUAUGAAAAAAAGUCUGCUCAUCAUGUAGUGUGUGUUUAUAUAUAAAUGUACUUAUUUAUAUAGUUAUGGGUAUUCUUCAUGGUCUUUUUCCAUAUCUGAGUUUUCCAACUUUUUAUCAUUAUACAUUUCUUUUUUUUCUUUAAGUUCUGGGAUACAUGUGCAGAAUGUGCAGGUUUGUUACAUAGGUAUACAUGUGUCAUGGUGGUUUGCUGCACCCAUCAGCCCGUCAUCUAGGUUUUAAGCCCAGCAUGCAUUAGGUAUUUGUCCUAACGUUCUCCUUCCCCUUGGCCCCCACCCCGCCGAGAGGCCCUGGUGUGUGAUGUAAACAUAUGGAACGCUUCACGAAUGUGCGUGCCAUCCUUGCGCAGGAGCCAUGCUAAUCUUCUCUGUGUUGUUCCGGUUUUAGGAUAUGUGCUGGCGAAGUGAGCACUAUACAUUACUUUUUAAUAGAAGUUUUUGAAAGGUCCAAAGGAUUUGGGGAAACCUUGAAAACCAUGAGAGUUACCAUAUUCCUCAAUUUUCACAUUAAUUACGUCUGCUCCAUUUAUUUGUGCUAUUUGGUCAUCUUUUUCAGCAUGUUUUAGAAUCUGUAAGUUUUUUGUAAUUCAAUGUUUUGUGCCACAAGAUAACAUUUUGAUACAAUAUUUGUAAUUUUUGCAUUGGCAUAUGUCAGUUUGUGUAUCUACUGUAUUCGUCCAGAGACCUAUUAUGAGGUGCAACGGGUUUUUGUUGGUGUUUUUUCCUUUUUGUUAUUGUGAACAACACAGGAAGAGAAAAAUGGGUUGGCUGAAAAUGGAUUUGGGGUGAAAAGGCAGGGGGAAAAUGUGAAGAAUUUUGAAAAAAACAUACAAAAGUGCUUAGAGGUAAAAUAGAUUAUAAAACCAGCCCUUGUUGUAUUAAAACUAAUGCACGAGCUGGGCGCGGUGGCUCACGCCUGUAAUCCCAGCACUUUGGGAGGCCGAGGUGGGUAGAUUACCUGCAGUCAGGAGUUCGAGACCAGCCUGGCCAAUAUGGUGAAACUCCAUCUCUACUAAAAAUACAAAAAUUAGCCAGGCAUGGUGGCAUUUGCAUGUAGUCCCAGCUAGUCGGGAGGGUGAGGCAGGAGAAUCGCUUGAACCCAGGAGGUGGAGGUUGCAGUGAGCUGAGAUUGCACCACUGCACUCCAGCCUGGGUGACAGAGUGAGACUCUGUCUCAAAAAUAAUAAUAAAACUAAUGCAUGAGACUAGAUGGUGAUGAUUGAGAGUCCUUGUUGACCAAAUUGUUUGUUUUCUUCUCCAGAAGUCCCAGAGCAUAGCUAUGUGGUUGGAGAGCCUAAUCAAAACUACUGUCCCAAAGGCUGUAGUCCCAGCCCUUUCAGAGGCCAAGUCAGGAAAAUUGCUUGAGCCCAGAAGUUCAAAAUUGCAGUGAGCUAUGAUUGCACCACUGCACUUCAGCCUGGGCAACAGAGCAAGACCCUGACUCUUAAAAAAAAGAAGUCUGUUCAUCAAAAGGUGCCAUAAGUGCUUUUUGCCUAGUGCCAGCGGGCUGCACCUCAGUAGGCUAUAGGAGUAACUUGUUCCUGCCCCUUCCCCUCCCAAACAACCUUUCUUUCCUAGGGUGACAGUAGGGGGGCCUCUGGUUUGCCAGAAAAAGAACAAAAGCACAUGGUACCAGCUGGGUAUUAUCAGCUGGGGUGUGGGCUGUGGCCAGAAGAACAUGCCUGGAGUGUACACCGAGUUGUCCAAUUAUCUGCUUUGGAUCGAGAGGAAGACUGUGCUGGCAGGGAAGCCGUAUAAGUAUGAGCCAGACUCUGUGUACGCUUUGCUUCUCUCACCCUGGGCCAUCCUGUUACUGUAUUUUGUGAUGCUUCUAUUAUCCUGGUGAUUAAACACCACGUUGUCUCAAAA